rnacentral:ribozyme from 1 species
UGCCCAGCAACUACUGUCCCUACCUCCUCGCGGCACUGGCCGGGGUACGAGUAACCUUAGGGAAGAUCGGAUAAUUAACCCCCGGUGGGUACUUUGGUCAUAUGCUGACAGGGAAAG